AGAUUGUUCAGCGUGGUUUUUAACGGUUUGAUAUGCAGUGUGUUGUUGUUCAGCACCACAUUGCCGCUGGCAUGCACCUGCUCGCCAUCCAGCGGAAUAUCGAGAUUGAGUUUGCCGCGCACAUUGCCGCCAAUCUGCAACUCCUGCAGCGCCGCGCCAAGUGUUGGUUUCAGCGGCGUCUGCUCGAAAUAGUCGGCGAUUUUUUUGCCUUCGCCGCUGAUAUCGCCAUCGAUGAUCAACUUCUCUUUCAGGUAAUCCGGAAUUACCGCGCUGACAUUGCGCGCAUCAACCUCGCCGAGCUUGGUUUGAUCGGCUUUCAUCCACAAACCGUUGUUGAGGAAGUCGAGAUUAAUGUCGAGAUUUUCCAGUGCAGGCCAGCCGGGCUGGAACUGGAAGGUGGAGUUACGCAGCGGUA
rnacentral:ncRNA from 2 species